UGCUCGAUGAUCGAAGUCACUCUAGACAUAUACGCUAUUCUGAGAAAUCGAAAGGGCUGAUAACACAGAAUAUGAGAGCU